rnacentral:rRNA from 1 species
UACGUAGGGUGCGAGCGUUAAUCGGAAUUACUGGGCGUAAAGCGUGCGCAGGCGGUUUUGUAAGCCGGAUGUGAAAUCCCCGGGCUUAACCUGGGAAUGGCAUUCGGGACUGCAAGGCUGGAGUGCGGCAGAGGAGACUGGAAUUCCCGGUGUAGCAGUGAAAUGCGUAGAUAUCAGGAGGAACACCGAUGGCGAAGGCAGGUCUCUGGGCUGACACUGACGCUCAUGCACGAAAGCGUGGGGAGCGAACAGG